CCAUCAGCCUGGCCAGAGGAUUUAAGGAGCGGUACUGCCACACCUCAAUGCUGGUUGAUACUCUACUGUUGGCCCUGGAUUCCCUCCACCUGCCUGAGGUGUGAUUUAUCACAAGCGUCGUUCAGCUUCCCUGGCCUCCUGCUCUCCACCGCUCACCUGCCUUCCUGGAUCCAGCAUCACCUCCAGCGACCAUAUCCUCCCUGCAUCAACCUGACUUGUAGUGAUGAUGAUGUGAAGCCUUUUGAACCAACAAAGCUUUACAAUCCAAUUGUAUUGAAAAAAGGUUCAAGGUUUGAUGCUUCAAAACUCUGUGAGGAUAUCUGCUGGUAAAUGUUUGUAUUUCAUUGUAUUGUCAGCCAAUUCUACUGAAAAUGAAUAGUGUAUUGAACUUUAUGGACAAAUAAAGCAUUAAAAAGCU